ensembl:lncRNA
GUUUGUGACGGAUAGUGUCAAGGGGUUGAGCUGAAGUCAUCAAUGAGCGCCCUAUUUUACGGGCCGUCUCCCGUUCUCUAGCAGUCCGCUGAGAGGAGAGUAACAGGUUUUGCCGGCCGAGUGGAGCCCCUUCGGACGUCGUUGGGGAGGGUUUAGCUCCUCAGCCUUUCCAGGUUGCACGGGUGAUUAGAUGAACUGGGGAUUCGCUGUCUCCACACUGACGCUCGCCCCACCCUCGCCGUGUUUAGGGACCCGGGCAAGUACACAGAUUGUUCGUGAUAAGCUGUCAGCCAAAUAAGAAUAGGUUUACGGUGUUUGUUUUGUACUGAUGUACUAAUAAAUUAUUGUUUUGUACCACAAUAUGAUC